rnacentral:tRNA from 1 species
AUCACAGUUGCCUAAAGGAUAGUUAGGCAACAACUUUAUAAGUUGUUUUCUGUAGGUUCAAAUCCUACCUGUGAUA